rnacentral:rRNA from 1 species
GGAGUCUGGUCCGUGUCUCAGUACCAGUGUGGGGGAUAAGCCUCUCAGCUCCCCUAGACAUCGUCGGCUUGGUGGGCCGUUGCCCCGCCAACUACCUAAUGUCACGCAUGCCCAUCCACUACCACCGAAGCUUUAGUUGUCUCCCCAUGCGGGAAAACAACACCAUGGGAUAUUAGUGGAAGUUUCCCUCCGUUAUCCCCCUGUAGUGGGUAGGUUGCAUACGCGUUACGCACCCGUGCGCCGGUCGCCAUCAAAGGAAGCAAGCUUCCUUCAUGCUGCCCCACGACUUGCAUGUGUUAAGCCUGUAGCUAGCGUUCAUC